rnacentral:lncRNA from 1 species
UCGCUGCAGUUUCCUGUUGAAGCUACCAGAUUUGCUGGUGCGGCUCGCUGCCCCCGGUUCGAGGGCAGUGCUGCGGCUCUGCCCCUCGGCGCGCUGCGAGCACGUAGGGAACGCUCUGCCGUUACCCGGAGAUGCUCUCCGCUACUGGUAAGAAGAGUGACCUCUUCGGGUGGCUGUAACUGAAGAUUGCUUCACGGGAGCAACUGAGGAAGGCUGUUGGCCUCCUGGCGGGCGAAGCGGAGCUCGUGGUGCGCGUUGGCCGUGCCGGGUUCGGGGAGAGCCGCGGGGUUCGCCCGCGGGAGCACCCGGCUGGUCCAGGCCCUCGGCCGCACGCGAGAACUUCACGGGGCCAAAUUCUGCAUCCUCCUCUUGCCCAGGCCCGUACGCGCGGCGUCUU